GACUUCGCGGCCGCGCGUAUCGACGCGGAUGGCCGAGCCGACCGCGUCCAUGACAUCGAUCGA
rnacentral:sRNA from 1 species